rnacentral:rRNA from 1 species
AGCGCAACCCUCGUCCUUAGUUGCCAUCAUUUGGUUUGGGGCGAACUCCUAAGGAAACCGCCGGUGAUAAGCCGGAGGAAGGUGGGGAUGACGUCAAGUCCUCAUGGCCCUUACACGCUGGGCUACACACGUGCUACAAUGGCGGUGACAGUGGGCAGCAAGCGCGCGAGCGUGAGCUAAUCUCCAAAAGCCGUCUCAGUUCGGAUUGUUCUCUGCAACUCGAGAGCAUGAAGGCGGAAUCGCUAGUAAUCGCGGAUCAGCAUGCCGCGGUGAAUACGUUCCCAGGCCUU